AUUGAACGCUGGCGGCAGGCCUAACACAUGCAAGUCGAACGAGCGGCGGACGGGUGAGUAAUGUAUGGGGACUGCCCGAUAGAGGGGGAUAACUACUGGAAACGGUGGCUAAUACCGCAUACUAUCGGAUAACCCAUAUGGGAUUAGCUAGUGGGGGGGGUAAAGGCUCACCUAGGCGACGAGCUCUAGCUGGUCUGAGAGGAUGAUCGGCAACACUGGGACUGAGACACGGCCCAGACUCCGACGGAGGCAGCAGUGGGGAAUAUUGUACAAGGGGCGCAACCCUGAUGCAGCCAUGCCGCGUGUAUGAUGAAGUCCUUAGGGUUGUAAAGUACUUUCGGCGGGGAGGCGUUACCCGCAGAAUAAGCACCGGCUAACUCCGUGCCAGCAGCCGCGGUAAUUC
rnacentral:rRNA from 1 species